UUUUUUUUUUUUUGAGGAUAAAUGCACUUUUAUUUUGAUGCAUGACAUUUGCUGAAUAGCCACAGCUGGUCAGUCUCAGCAGGAAGUCAAGCCAAUUUGAGUGAACCCACAGACAUGAUGUUCUCUCUUCUUAAACUUUUAGGAAGAAAAUGUUGGCUUUUGAACCUUAUAUGUGUCCUUGCUGUUGAUGCCCAAAACAGAGUUGUGAUCAUUUGCUUCAAAGCUGAUCAGGAACAUAAUGGCUUAACACCGAAUAUCUGAAAUUAUUGUAUCUUAUAUUUCAUAUUUAUGAUCUCCAAUAUGUUUUACAGAAGACAUGGAAAGGUAGAAAUAAUAUUACUUGUUCCACCCACUGCUGCCAGAUGACUGCAACUCAGCUUCUCCUCCAGAGACCUCCUAUCAGCUUAGCUAAGCUCUUCUUCUCAGACUUAAUAUAACAAAGCAAGGUGGUGAUUUGGAUUAUUACAUAGUUGUUUGCGCAUGGUUCAUCUGAUUUGGUAUAUGUUUCUAUGUAUCUGCCCUUUCUUCAUGCCCUUGUUACAUCAUCCAGGUUAAGUCCAAAUCCAUGCAGUGUGCACAGGGGACACUCUGGCAAAGAAAUCAGCUAUUGAGUUGGGAUGUAUCUUUGUUGAAUUUGGUCACAGAAGCAACUUAAUCUGUGCAAUUGAUUUUAAAUUUAAACUGGCCUUGAGGAGGCUGUGGGAAGUUUACAAAUGAAUCUGAGCACAUGCAUAUUUAUCUAAUAAACAAAAAUAAAUAAAGUGAAAGUUGAAGGCUAUGGUAGAUGGUAGCAAGGAAAUUAAUACUUUUGAAAGGGCUAGUGCCUUCUAGGUCAUGGCAUUGAAAUCACACAUCACUUGUAAGAUAGGAUGUUACUAACAUACAUUCCCCAAGUGCACACAUACAACUUGAGAGAUACUGAGUCAUUCCAUGGAAUGGUUAAUAGAAUUGAAAGAUGGAUUGGCAUGCAGAAUGGACUUCACAAAAUCAAAUCUUUAUUUUGCAAUUCUGAGCCACCCCUUCCUUCCCUCUCUUUAUUUGGCCCUACCUUAUGUUUCUUCCCACGUGGAUGUGCUCUUUUGGAACAGGGUAACAUGGAAAACUUCUUAUUUUUAUCCAACACAUUUUGUUCUUCCAAAAAAGUAAAAAGGUUCUGUUAUCCUAAUAAACCAGCACAGCAAGAGGUAAACUAAGAUAGUAUAUGACCCACAAUAAAAUCAAUCAUUUGUUCUAUGUUGGGUGCAUUCUGCUAUGACCAUUGGGACUUGUGCAUCUUCUAUGAAAUCCUGAGCAUGUUGGGAGGCAGGUUCCCUGUGGUUACUCCUAUCUACUAGGAAGUAUAUUGAGAUUACUCACAUAGAACCAGUAUGUAGGACUUUUACUCCUAAAUCCUACAGCAAGCCAAUGCUGGACAUAAGAAAGCCCUGAAUCCCAUUACCUCUUAAGCUCUCCAUCCAAUUGGGUGGCAUAUGUGGUCUCUUUAAACUCGGGAACCAUGCAGGUUCCUUAUUUACCUGGCAAAUGGAGACUGCAAACCUGGAUUAAUAAUAAACAUUCUCCCCAGGGACAUUAUUAAAGCAGGUUUUCAAAAGCUCACGCUGCCUUUUGACCUCUUAGUUUCCCAUUAUCCUAGAUUAUGUUCCUUAAAAUAUUCCAGCACCCCACAUUCUGGGCAAUGAAUAAUGUAAGCCAGUAAAACAGAAAUGCAAAAAAGACUGGAGAGUUCUUUUGCUAACAUU
rnacentral:lncRNA from 1 species